GCCAGCGUAGCUCAGCCGGCAGAGCAACUGUUUUGUAAACAGUAGGUCGUCGGUUCGAUUCCGACCGCUGGCUCCA
rnacentral:tRNA from 1 species